UUUUUCUUCUUCUAGGCAUCCUUCAGGAUACCCAAAGCACGCGGGUGCUGUGAAGGACCCAAGCGUAUAUAAACCGUGGCCGGACAUUUGUCCAGCCUCUCGUUCGCAACUCUUUAAGCAGUUGGACUCAAAUAUGAUAUCGGGAUUAUCCACGAUACCUCGAAAAGAAGGUCAAAUAAUGAAGCUCCUAGUCGAGUUUCGAACUGCGAAGACCAAGUUCGUCGAUGGGUGAAUAAAGAUAACGCAGACUGAAUGGCUGCAGCUGUCUCAUCAGGUGCCUCAGAGCACUGGAACAAGAUUUCCAUCUUCUGGAUACUACAGUAGUCCCACUGUGUGGUGACCAGCUGGACUAUGGAGACUGCUCUCUGCUGCUUCCACACUGAGUUGCCGUGACAGCGCCACAGCUGUACAACUUCCUGGAAGGGAUUCAAUUUCAAAAUGAGGACUUGCAGCCCAAGCUGGAUGACAUUGGGACAGAAUGAAUGGACCAGGUUUAUGUGAUGGAACGGGGCUUUGCAGAGUUUCCUUAGACUUGACUUUAAGGUGAUACUGAAGUGCUGAGAAUGAACCCUGGAAUUGAUGUGCCUUCACCGAUGCUGCAACUCGUGAAUUAGGACUGCUACAAGAUUAAUUAAUCCAGGAAGUUAAGCCAUCUAGAGACAUUCCAUUGUUCUACACUUUUGUGCAAGCUUUUCUCAACAGGCAUUUUCAUGGAAGUGCAUUUCGAGAAAUUUCAAAUAAAGGGUUGACAACA